CACAGCAACACACAGAGCAGGAGAACAGGAGGGAGAACACAGCAACACACAGAGCAGGUGAACAGGGAAACUACAUACUUCAUGGGGAGAGGAAUGAACUAAGCCUCUAAAAUGAAUCUAUCUGGGGAGAGAGAAGAGAAAGGCACUGCCUCUAAAACGAGUCUAACUGUGGAGAGAGCUGAAGAGAGCCCUGACUCUAAAAUGAGUCUCCCUGGGAAACAUGAAACCGACGCUAAAAGCCUAACCUAUCAGGAGAGACCAGCCUCCCCUGUACCCAGCUGUGUGUCCAUGAAGAGUGACUGGUCUAUGGAUCAACCUAUAGUGUUAAAAGAGAGAGUUUUUUCUACUGAACACAGGUAGGAACUUGUGGGUCAUGGACAGUUAGUAAACAACACUUUUACUUAGAUCCUCAUUAGUUGACAAUAUAAACACAUACAUUUAUGUAAUUAAGUAGGGGUUCUCAUCAUAUUUACAAUAAAACUAAU